rnacentral:rRNA from 1 species
GAUGAACGCUGGCUACAGGCUUAACACAUGCAAGUCGAGGGGAAACGACGGGGCAGCUUGCUUCCCCGGGCGUCGACCGGCGCACGGGUGAGUAACGCGUAUCCAACCUGCCUCUGACUGAGGGAUAACCCGUCGAAAGUCGGCCUAAUACCUCAUGGCAUCGUCUGCGGGCAUCCAACGACGAUUAAAGAUUUCAUCGGUCAGGGAUGGGGAUGCGUCUGAUUAGCUUGUUGGCGGGGUAACGGCACACCAAGGCUACGAUCAGUAGGGGUUCUGAGAGGAAGGUUCCCCACAUUGGAACUGAGCCACAGUCCAAACUGCUAAGGGAGGCAGAAGUGAAGAAUACUGGUCAACGGGAGGCAGCCUGAACCAGCCAAGUAGCGUGCAGGAAGACAGCACUAUGGGUUGUAAACUGCUAUUAUGCGGGGAUAAAGUGAGGGAAGUGUCCUUCAUUGCAGGUACAGAAUGAAUAAGGAACGGCUAAUUCCGUG